rnacentral:rRNA from 1 species
GACGAACGCUGGCGGCGUGCUUAACACAUGCAAGUCGAACGGAAAGGCCCUGCUUUUGUGUGUUGCUCGAGUGGCGAACGGGUGAGUAACACGUGAGUAACCUGCCCCUGACUUUGGGAUAACUUCAGGAAACUGGGGCUAAUACCGCAUAGGAGCUCCUGCUGCAUGGUGGGGGUUGGAAAGUUUCGGCGGUUGGGGAUGGACUCGCUGCUUAUGAGCUUGUUGGGGGGGUAGUGGCGUACCAAGGCUUCGACGGGUAGCCGGCCUGAGAGGGUUGCCAGGUACAUUGGGCCUGAGAUACGGCCCAGACUCCUACGGGAGGCAGCGGUGGAGAGUAUUGCAGAGUGGGCGGAAGCCUGAUGCAGCAACGCCGCGUGCGGGAUGACGGGCUUCGGGUUGUGAACCGCUUUCGCCUGUGCCGAAGCGAGAGUGACGGUAAUGGGUAAAGAAGCACCGGCUAACUACGUG